GUUUUGAAUGAAAAAAAAAGUUGAAAACGUGAAACAGCAAAAAUGAGUUUAUUCUCACAGCACAUCAGAAACAGUUUUUUUUUAAAGCACAACAAUACCAAACCAGCCUUAAGUCCUACUACAAAUUGUUCAUGCAUAAGAGUUCAAAGCUCAAUUUAUCCUUUUUUUUUUAAAUAAUAAUUAUUAUUAUUAAGGAGAUGAGGGAGAGUUCGAAAUUAUUACAAUAAUUAAAAAGAUGAGGAAUUUCGAACCCAUAAUGCAAAUGUAAAGACCAAAUGCAAGCUUAAUUUAUCCUUGUUUAGCUAGAAACCAUGCCAUGAAUCCCAACAAUGCAGCGUGAAUGUAUGGAGAAGUUUUUAGCACUAUGGUCACACUGUCGUGUAAUAACACUAUAUCCAUUUAUUAAAAGACAUAUCAACGUUAUCAUUUAUCUAUAUUCGAACGCGUGAUAUCAUUAAGGGCCAAUUCGGGAUUGUUGUGCUCUUUUUAAAAAUUGCUCUUAUUGUGCUUUAAGUAUAAUCAGUUGUAAAAUAAAGUAAUUGAGUGUUGAUAAAUUUUAAUUAAAGUGUUGUGAUUAGGAAAAACAAUGUAAAGAUGUUUGGUAAAUUUUAAUGUAAAAGUGAUAUAAAAUAGACAUGAUAGUGUGAACGGUGACAACGACAACGAUGGCAAGAGCAAUGUUGUGAUGAUGGUGGUGGUGGUGCCAAUAAAUGAGUGUGGUGAUUGGGCUAUAGAGGUAACAAUGGUGAUAGGAAAUGGUGAUGGUGGCAGUUGUGGUUGUGGUUGUGUUUGUGGUGGUGGUGAUGGCGAUGGCAGCAAUGAUGGUAGUGACAGUUGUGUUUGUGGUUGUAAUGGUGACGAGUAUGGUUGUAGUGGUGGUGGUGCAAUUGUGGUGUCGUGGUGGAGGAAACAAUGGUAAUGGUAAUGGUAAUGGUAGUGUAAGAGGCUAAGGUUUGUAGGGGUCUCUUUGUUCUCUAAGGAUAAAAUGUGUCUAAAAGAAUAGAUUAUGUCAUUUUUAAAAUUAAUGAGUAUAUUACAGGAAUUAAAAAUAUUAUUAAAGUUUCAACUUGACUUUUUAUUAAAGUAGCUUUUAACAGCAACUCGCAUGAUGCUUUUAAAAUGAGCAUGAUAUUUUAUUUUUAGCAAACACUUUUUUACUGUUUAACUUUAAAGUAAAUCAGCUUUUGAUAAAAAAAAUAUAUAUCAAACUGAGGCUAAGUCCCUUGACAAUGUAACAAAACACCAAAAAUUUCUCAAGAGUGUACGACCCAAAUUGCUAUAAGCUGCAAAGUAUUUUAAAUGCUUCACUGUUCUAUGUUAAAGCAACGGAAACAUUUUAAUAAGAAAAGUUGAGGACUUAUGAGCUCACAUUUAAUUGUUAAAUUGGACAUAGAACGGCUGAUAUACACGACAGAUGAGAGUUGGUGAGGAUGCAAUUUCUCAAUUUAACAACGUCAUUGAUUAUGUAUUACCAUUAACUUAGCAAUGAAAUUACAUUUCUCUGCUAGGAAGGUGUCACAGGAUAGUUUCUCGUGAGACAAAUGUUAAUGGCUCUAUUAAAAGUGAGACUCCAAAAACUCUUAUCCACCUCAUAUUUUUUGCACAAUGUUUCUAAUGUUAACACGAGAAUUGAUGUUAAAAUGUGAGUUGAUAGUUGUAAAGCUAUAGACAGUCAAGCUCAAUCCAACGAUCAAGAAGAUUCCACUUGUCAAGAGAUUAGUUGAUAAAAGUUGUUAGUUUGUUAAGAAUUAGUUUACUUAUUGUGUAAGUAUUGUAACUAGUAUAAAUAAGAAAUCCUUGUAUCCAUUGAGAUGGUGAAGAAAUAAUAUCAGUGCAAUACUCUCUCAUUCUCUUCGAUCUCUCCUUCUCUCUCUAGAUUAUGUGCAUACAAUUUCUCUCUAAAACUAUCACGCCCCGAUCCCGACAUACGUCUAGGAUCGACACGUGAUGUCACCAAAUACUCGUAUCUCUAACUUACCCCGCCUCCGGGAUAAGGCAAAGCAUAACUCGAAAAUCGAAUCACAUAACAAUUUUUCAUAUACUUUAUGGCGGCAUCUAACCUCCUCGUUAGACUGCCUACGUACCCUCAAUAGGGAUCAAGCCAUUCGUAGUUCACCAUUCACCUUACCAGAACAUUUGUCAUAUAGUUCACUUUAUUUUCAACAUGAUACCUCCAUCCACAUCAUGUAGUAUAUCAAAUAAUCAACAAAGCACAAUAUUAUUCUCAAGCCACAUUGAUCAACUAAAAUAAUCAUAAUAAUAACAAUCAUAUCCAACGUUAUUCCACAAUUCCGUCAAUUUGUCAUUUCAUGACUCAAAGAUGCAUGAUCUUAGCAUUUAACUACGUUAAUCAAUCAAUGCGAAAACAUAUCAUUUCACAAAUUUAAUCAAGGAACUCUAUAUAUUCUCUAUUUGGAUUUUGAGUAAUAAACAUGGUGAAUCUAAAUUAUACUCACAAGGUCUUUUGUGGGUAAUUUCCAUUCACUCGAAUCUAGAGUUCUAGACUAAUCUUAUGGAAAUGAGCAUGAGCAAGGAUUCCGAACCACUCAACGGAAUCCAAUAACAUCGGUUUCCAGGCCACUCGACGGAACCAAAAUAUCAAGCGGUUUCUCUUAAUCUACCCAAAUCUAUCACAUGUAUACUCAUGCCUACAUCAUGGGAAUGGUGCAUUGGGUAAAUCAGAACUUGGAUAAACUGCGAAGCUCGGGUGAGUGACAAUAAUACAAGUAUGUGAUAAUCAAUAAAAAAAAAACCAUCAAUCACAGUUUAUAAACCUCAAAUAUAAGUUCGUAAAUAUGAAAACAUAGUCAAGUCUCUAACAACUCCGAAUGAGUCACCUAGACAUCCAACGACUUUUCCCAUUCAAACCACCAAGAUUCUCAAAAACCAUCGUUCAUAUAUACAUUAAAACUAGGGUUAGAUGGACGCAGUUCGGCCGAAGCCUACAUAACUAACCAAACAAGAAAUGGCCCUCCAAAGCGGAUUAACCAAGCAGAGUCACUUCUACAGUUGUUAGGAAGUGAUCACCCAAUGCUUAGGUCUUGCUCUAAGGGUUGAGGGGAGUCUAUUGGUGGUGGUGAUCAACGGUAAUCGUUGUCGGAAUCACCAUAACAUGAGAAAACUCAUCGAAAAACCCUCAGCACUUUGUGGCUUUGAUGGUAAUUUUUACCACUUGUAAGACAAAGGAUUAAACCAUAGAAAAUUCUUGCAAGAGAACAAGUGUU
rnacentral:lncRNA from 1 species